rnacentral:rRNA from 1 species
CCAAGGCAAUGAUGCAUAGCCGAGUUGAGAGACUGAUCGGCCACAUUGGGACUGAGACACGGCCCAAACUCCUACGGGAGGCAGCAGUAGGGAAUCUUCCACAAUGGACGAAAGUCUGAUGGAGCAACGCCGCGUGAGUGAAGAAGGGUUUCGGCUCGUAAAGCUCUGUUGGUAGUGAAGAAAGAUAGAGGUAGUAACUGGCCUUUAUUUGACGGUAAUUACUUAGAAAGUCACGGCUAACUACGUGCCAGCAGCCGCGGUAAUACGUAGGUGGCAAGCGUUGUCCGGAUUUAUUGGGCGUAAAGCGAGUGCAGGCGGUUCAAUAAGUCUGAUGUGAAAGCCUUCGGCUCAACCGGAGAAUUGCAUCAGAAACUGUUGAACUUGAGUGCAGAAGAGGAGAGUGGAACUCCAUGUGUAGCGGUGGAAUGCGUAGAUAUAUGGAAGAACACCAGUGGCGAAGGCGGCUCUCUGGUCUGCAACUGACGCUGAGGCUCGAAAGCAUGGGUAGCGAACAGGAUUAGAUACCCUGGUAGUCCAUGCCGUAAACGAUGAGUGCUAAGUGUUGGGAGGUUUCCGCCUCUCAGUGCU